rnacentral:lncRNA from 1 species
UCCACAUGUAGCAGUGUCGGAACAUGAUUACCUAUUACAUCUUUGCACUAGGCUCACCUGAGUGUUAUUUAUACAACCUCUUCCUCUUGUAUGCAUUGAGCAUUUUGCAUAUUAACUGAAAAUAAAAAGAGCAUGUUGCAUUCGAGACGAUUGACAAUCAUCGAUGACAUUUUCAGUUCCAUGUCAGUAUGUCGGGAAGUUAGAGUGUGUUUGGUUUGAGGAAUGAAGUGAUUCAUCUUCUUCUCACUCCUCACUUUUUUAUUUGGUUUGUGGAAUAGAAUGAGUUGAUCCAUCACCACCACAUUCUUCAUAAGCUAAUAAUUAGUAUAUACAUGAGGGUUGAGUUGAUUCCACCAAAAUUGAUGGAAUGAACUUAUAAUGCAUCACCUCAUGAAGCAUAAAGUGACUCCACAAACCAAACACACCAUUAGUUUCUUUUGCUGUCAUGCCACAACCUCUGUUACUGAAAAUAAAUAAGCCAUAAAUCAAAGCAGUCCCUUUGCUCAUGUAAAACAGAUGUUCUUGCUCUAUAGACUGAGUGAGUAGUAGUAGUAGUUCUUUUUCUCAUUCUGUUCUAGUAUGCCAACAUUAAGAUUUUUGCACCUUGAGAUUUUCCGCAACAGUCUAGUUUAGGGUUCUUACAUACAACAUGAUAUGUACAUUUCUUAUCCACUUAAGGGCGUCGUGGCGGUGAUCCAAUAGCUAGCUCAGCUGCAAUUCUAAGAAAGGUCCUCGCUCAGCUCGGCACUCUGGGCGUUGUUUUUUAUUGUUUCCUGAGAUCACCUCGCCUGGCGAUAUCCUUCUCCCGUUGAAGACGGGUGAUGUUCAGGUCCCCUGCUUGACAAUUAUAUUUGUUGUGUAUGUCGCGCAGAACAUAAAUUGGUGGAAGAGAAGUUUGAUGCUACCACUUUGCGAGAAGGACCGAACCAACACAAUAACAUCAAACUUAGAUACUGCAGUUUACCAACUUUUUCAAUAUUGAAGAUUGAAGAGCAGCAAGAUCAGCCUCUUCCAUAUGCAGUUUGAAGAAAUCCUUUUUAAGGUCUAUUAGACUAGAAUCCUUCCGGCAAUCUUGCCUUCACCCCAAGCAUGCUGCAUACCUUGUAAUGAGUGUGGUACUUGACGACUGUUACCAAAGUUUUUUUGAGGGUAAGACUGUUACCAAAGUAGUGGAUGCUUUUCUUUGGCACGAAGUUUCUUUCAUAUCCACCUAGUUUGUCUGUAAAAAAAAGUGAAACACCGAGAAAGACGAUCAGACUAACCUACCGUUUGGUUCACAUAUUGGUAACGUAAUAGGUAACUGAUAACGUUAAAUCAUGUUUGUUUAAGUCUAACUGUAAUCGAUACCACACUAUAAAUGGAUAUCGCCUUUUUUAAUUUGUUACUGUCGGUAUUUGAGUGUGAAUCGUUACCAUUACUAUUUACGUUACAUUUCGCGAACCAAACGAUACCUAAGGUGAAUGAGGCAAUUUAAAUUUUCUUCUGAUUUUGGUCGCUGUUCAAAUCUAACUCCAAAGCACCAAAAAAGCACAAAAAA